rnacentral:rRNA from 1 species
AAGGGACAGUAAUAUGUAGAUACCAACCCUCUGGUCGGGGAUAACUACGGGAAACUGUAGCUAAUACCCGAUAAAGUCUAAGGACCAAAGGUGUGAUUCCACCGGAGGACGGGUCUGCACCGUAUUAGCUAGUUGGCGGGGUAAUGGCCCACCAAGGCGAUGAUGCGUAGCGGGUGUGAGAGCACGACCCGCGUCACUGGGACUGAGAACUGCCCAGACACCUACGGGUGGCUGCAGUCGAGGAUUUUUGGCAAUGAGCGCAAGCUUGACCAAGCGAUGCCGCGUGUGGGAUGAAGGCCUUCGGGUUGUAAACCACUGUCAGUGUGGAGGAAAGUUGUGUGCAGAGCAUGACUUGACUAAUACGCAGAGGAAGUCAGGGCUAAACUCGUGCCAGCAGCCGCGGUAAGACGAGUCUGACGAACGUUAUUCGGAAUCACUGGGCUUAAAGGGUGCGUAGGCGGUAUGGUAAGUCGGAUGUGAAAUACCCUAGCUUAACUAGGGAACUGCACUCGAUACUACCGUGCUAGAGUAAGACAGAGGUGAGUGGAACUGAGAGUGGAGCGGUGAAAUGCGUUGA